GAGAAAAGAAAUAGCAGUAGAGAUAAAGAAGAUAAGAGAAGGAAAGGACGAAGAUCCGGCCCAACCGGCAGCAGUCUAGCGACGUCUGUUGGGCCAGGAAGCAGGCCAGCGGCCUAGCUUUGUCCUCCGGCUCCGUCGCCGCCGUCUCCUCUCCCUACAUCACCAGCCGGCAGCCGCUGCCCAUUCUCCUCAACCGUGUCCGUGCUCCUCCAUUGCGCAAAUCGGAUUGGGCCGCCACCAGCUCUGCUCUACCUAUUUUCAUCUCGCCCCACCGUUCUAUGCGCCUCAGAUCCCAGCCUCCACGGGGACUGGGGCCACCGUGACAGCAACGGUGUCCAGCCUUUCCCAACCACGCCUUCGAGCGCACCGGGCUCACAGUCACACCGCCGCGCCCUGCGACUGCUCCGCCGGGAGAGCCAACUCUUACGCCUGCUCCGCUCGCUCGGCGCUCAAGACCGUCGCCGGCGUGGUCAGCCUCGGGCAGCAGCUGCAGGAGGUCCGUAUCUAGCGGCAGCUCGCCUCGUCGUCCGGGACCAAGAGUCCAAGACAGAAGCACACUGAACGCUCGCGGCCGCGACGGUGUGGAAUCUGGAAUGUCACAAUGUGGAGAGACGGUAGUCAUCUCCGGGCACAUCGCUCAAGCAAAAUGCCAUCAGCUCCACUAUACCAACCAAUUUCAGAUUUGAAUAACAGUGUUGGAUCAAAUAUGAUGCACCCAAAAUCAAGUGAGGAAGAGGAAGAGAUGGGAGAACGAAACGCAGCAGUCCCAUUCAAGAAUUUAAUCCAAGAUCAAUCACUUCUACAAGUGCAUACAAUGGCAAGACUUGAGGCGUUUAAAUGUUGAAUGGAGAAAGGACAUAGAGUUUGUAUCAUAACCAUCAGGGGACGAUUUUGGAAAAUUGAGCCAUUGUAGUAAUAUAAUAGUCUUGCUAGAGAAUCAUAUGUAUAAUUGUCUCUGAGAGAAAAAAAACUCAGGGCUUGUUCGGUUAUUUCCGUUUCAUGUGGAUUGGAGGGUAUUGGGUGGGAUUGAGAUGAAUUUUGAUUUAUUAUGGAUCUAAACCGACUUAGGGCU